GACAUGCCUUGCUUCUCCUUCGCCUUCUGCCAUGAUUGUAAGUUUCCUGAGCCCUCCCCAGCCAUGCAGAACUGAAAUAACAGGCACCUGGGAAAACCCAUGAAGUAAGGUUUUGUAAGAAGUUGCUCUGCUCCCCGGGAGAAAAUGCCGAGCUCAACACUGCCAAGAGGAACAAGUCUGGGAAAUUACGACAUGAGUCUGUCACUUUAAAUGUCUUCCUGGACCAAAGCAGGAAUGGCUGCUUAGGAUUUCAAAUGAGCACUCAAACAAUUUUAUCUGGCCCAUUAAUGGACAUGUUUUUGAUAAGUGAAUGAAGAGAGCUGAUAUCUCCAUUUCAAAGGAGCCGGCAGAAGGCCAAGAGAGUCAGCUCUUAGGAACUUCGAGGGAAACACUCAUAAAGCUUGCUGCUAGCCCUCCAUGGUUGCCUUGAGCCUGGACUUUGAACUCUUCACUGCUGUUCUAACAGGGCCCUUGUGAAUUGAUGAAUAUGAAGGCACUAAGAAAGCAGAAAUAGAACUGAGAAGAAUGAAAUGACUGUCUCUACCUUUCUCGAAUUGUCUAAUAUGGAAGGAAUGAAAGACAGCUAAUAAGCAACUGUCUGCAAGAAGUCAUAUGGCUUAGGUUCUGCUGAGCUAUUGGUGGUUUGAUUCCACGCAUAUGUAUUAACUACUGAGACAGGAUCUUGCUAUGUUGCCCAGGCUGGCCUCAAACUCCUGGCCUCAAGAUAUUUCCCCCUGCCUUGGCCUCUCAAAGAGAAUCUACUUGGAGAGAGUCAAACACAGAAUCCCUUUGAAUUUAAUGGCCAUUCCAGGUGAUUUGAACAGCUAAAUAAGAAACAAGUCCUCUUCAAUGUACAAUCUGCCAAGUAUGAGGUCUGAAUGACCAUCAUUAUUAUGUAUUUAAUGUGCAUAGAAAAUCUAUCUGCAACCUUCCAGAGUGUACCAGAAGUUUGGAAUGUACCUUAUUAUUGGCUCCAUCUCAAACCAGUCAUAAAUCAAGGAAAAUAGCAGUUCCAGGGGAAUCAUCAUAGAGGCUUCUAGGCCCCCACGCUGGGUGAACCUGGUGAGAAAGGGAAGUCUGCUCUCACUGGACACUGGAACUGUUUGUCUCUGUCUCUGCUGUACUUUCCCUGCCUCUAUCUCACUUAAUAAAGAAAUCAUCUUUGCUUGAUAACUAAAACAACCAAUAAGGCUGAGAAAGGGCAAAACCCACAUCUGGAUUUAAAUACAAGGUAUUGGGCCAGCUGCUGGGGAUUAAACUUUGAACAAAACAGAUAGAAUCUAUGUCCUCAUGGGAGUGGCUAAUGGGAGAGUCAGAACAAAAAAUAGCUGAGGAUAAUCCAGCAAAUGAUUUGGUGAAUGCUAUCAAAGAGAGAAUACACAUGCUCUGGAAACACCAAGGAGGGUUGUUAUACAAGGUCUGGGCUCCUGCAGUCACUUUGCACAUCAAUGAGUCCACAGGAGGGAAGCUCCUGGGAUAAAAUGUUCUCGCUAAUCCCAGCCACCAGCUAACUGCAACGUUAUGGUGUGGUGGGGGCCCAUUCAUCAGAGUUUAGAAAGCGAAGAAGCUGAAUAAUGACAUUGGAAUUUUGGUAAUAUAAGCUCAACAAGGAAAUGUUGUAUUCUGCCUUUACUGAGUACAUAAUAAAAAGUGUUUUCUUCUAAAUUACCUUACGAUGAUCCUACAGCAAAUUCAAGAGGAUGUACUUUUACGAUAUUGACACUUAGGCUAGAACGUAAGCUUUAUUGGUUAUGUUCACUGACACAGCUGCAAGAAUGGUUUUUGAAACAUGAUGGGUUGGAAAUAAAUAUUUGUCAAAUAAAUGGCUUAACUGAGUAUACUAUGUAUAUAGAUACUAUAAAAUUGAGUUAUUUUUCUGAUAUUUUAUGAGGUUCAAUUCUCACUCAAGUAAAUGGACUAUUUUUCUUUUUUUUUUUUUAUUAUACUUUAGGGUUUUAGGGUACAUGUGCACAAUGUGCAGGUUUGUUACAUAUGUAUCCAUGUGCCAUGUUGAUUUCCUGCACCCAUUAACUCGUCAUUUAGCAUUAGGUGUAUCUCCUAAUGCUGUCCCUCCCCCCUCCCCCCACCCCACAACAGUCCCCGGAGCGUGAUGUUCCCCUUCCUGUGUCCAUGAGUUCUCAUUGUUCAAUUCCCACCUAUGAGUGAGAACAUGCGGUGUUUGGUUUUUUGUCCUUGCGAUAGUUUACUGAGAAUGAUGUUUUCCAGUUUCAUCCAUGUCCCUACAAAGGACACGAACUCAUCAUUUUUUAUGGCUGCAUAGUAUUCCAUGGUGUGUAUGUGCCACAUUUUCUUAAUCCAGUCUAUCGUUGUUGGACAUUUGGGUUGGUUCCAAGUCUUUGCUAUUGUGAAUAGUGCCGCAAUAAACAUACGUGUGCAUGUGUCUUUAUAGCAGCAUGAUUUAUAGUAAAUGGACUAUUUUUCUAGAUGAAGGUUUCAGAUUAUGGCCAUUUGUAAAUCACAAAUUCUGCAACAUUAGAUAUGGGUUAUAAAGUUUUCUUAUCUGUUAUCGGUUCAACAAAAUGUUUUCUAAGGAUUCUUUUCAUUUUAAAAGCCAACAGACCUAUGAAUGUAGGUUAUUUCUCAAGCCUCUUUCACUUAUAACAUUCCAUAAUUCUUACAAAAACAUACAAAAGAAGUACUACUUCUAUUGGUUACUUGAUACCUUAGGAUAAGGUUUUAGAAAAUUCUGGAAAAGCAAUACCAACUCAUCUUUGGUGGUUAUCCAGACCAUCACCACAUAUGGGAGAAAUGUUCAUUGUUGACCUCUGAAAAGCAAAUUGCUCAGAUGAUUCAUUAAUGAGGAGCUAUCAUUUAUUAAUCACCUUCCAGACACUGUGAUAGUACUAUGCCAGUGGCAGUUAUCGUGUAGUUGAGAAGACAGACAAAAACCAGUAACUAAUAAUUAUAAAUUGUGGAAAAUGAUAUGAAAGCCCAGGGUCCAGAUUACCAGGACAAAAAGUAGCUGGGUUCAGGUAGAAGGUGAGCUAUUUUAGAUAGGGAGACCAGGGAAGAUCUUUCUGAAAAGGUCUCACCUGAAAGAUGAGAAGGAACCAGCCAUAUAAAGAGCAAGGGAUAAACAUUUCAGGCAGAGGACACAGUGUGAGCAAAUGAAUCCAAUUUCAGAGCUCCUUGCAUUUACAGAUGAAAUGAUAUGACCCCCAGGAUUUGCUUUAAAAUAAUUCAAUGGGAGGCAGGGAGAAGGGUGUAUAGGGAUAUAGAUAAACAUACAGUGAUGACUCUUGAAGCUACAUGAUGGGUACAUAAAAAUUUAUUAUGCUAUACUCUCUUCUUGCAUAUGUUUGUAAUUUUUCAUAAUAAAAUAUUUUUUAAAAAGCCUUUGGAACUUUAUUUGUGGGCAUAGUCAUCAUCUAAUUCAGUUAGUAGUUUUAGAAAUAUUACCCUCUUUCACUACUCACCAUCUUAAGAAUAUCAGAACUGAUGUUCUGGGGAGACUAGUACUUGGAACACUGAGAGGGGAACUCAGUAGAAUCUAUACCCUCAUGCAGACUAAUCUCUGUUCUAGACAUGUAUUUGCAUACAUUUUUAUAAAGUGAGAGAAAAAGAGUACUUAACGGAAGUUUGACCAAGGUCAGUUUUUGAAAAAAUCAACCAAAUAUAUAAAUCAAAUAAUGAAAUAUAAUGUACAUGCAAUAAAAUUCAUAUAUUUUAAAUAUUCAAGUUUAUGACACUGUAGAACAUCACCCAGAUCAAGAUAUAGAAUAAUUUUGACCUCCCCAGAAAGCUUCCUUAGGCCACUUGUGAUUAAUUACCUUUCUCCCCUACUUAGGAAGAUGCUGAUCUGAUUUUUAUUAUUAUAGAUUAACUCUGCCUUUUUUUUCUUCUU